UUUUAAUGUUUAAUGUUUAAUGUUUAAUGUUUAAUGUUCUAAAAGUCUCUAAUGGAGGAGGAAAGUCCAAAGGAGGAAGAACAAAACAAAAUGAUGGAAAACUCUGAGUUCUUCCAUCUAUGUACGAAAUACACUGCCUUUUUCACAAGCCAUCAAACCAUUAACUUUCUUUUUCUUUUUAAUGGUUGUGUAAGAGCUCUUUUACUGUGUCUUUUACUGUAAAAGCACCUCUCAAAAAUUCUACAAACAUAUUAUAAAUCAUCCUAUUCUUUAAUGAAGCAAUUCAAUUAUAUAUUGUUAAUGAUUCACUCCUUCUAGUGGCUUCCAUAAUACAAUGCUCUCCUGAUUUUCCUCAUACUUCUCUCCCUUAAGCAGUGGAGUUUCUGGGGUUCUGCUAUAGGCCUCUUCUUUCAUCACCCUACCCUUUCAUCUCCUCAGUCAUCAAUCCCAUGGUUUCAAUGACCACCUAUGUGGAAAUGACAUAAAUAUGUUUCUGCAGCAUCGACCUGUCUUCUAAGCAACAGAUCUAAAUAUCCAACUGCCUAUAAACAAAAUAUGAAUGCCUCCCAGGUACUUCAAAACCAACAUGUACAAAACUAAGUCAUCACCUUGCCCCCAAACCUUUUCUUGCUCCUUUAUUCUUUAUCUCAGUGAAUGGCACCACCAUACAUCCAGUUAUCCAAGCUAGUAACCUAGAAACCAUUCUUGGUUCCUCCUUCCCCUUCAACUCCCACAGGAAAUUCUACUUCCUAAAUAUUUCUGAAGUUCACCCACCUCUCCCAAACCCAGGCAACUCCCCUAAUUCAUGGCACUAUCAUCUUACACCCUCUUAGUAAAGUCUUUUCAUCCAACCCAUUCUCCACACAGAAGCCAGAGAGAUUCUUAUAAAUCAGAAAUCACAUCCCAUAACUCCAUGAUAAGAAGGGCUUAAAACCCUUUAGUCACUCUUAGGAUAAAGUCCAAACUUACACUACAUGACUUUAAAAGUCCUUACUUGCCCAGCCUAUCUCUCCACGUUCAUUUUUCCUCCCUCCUCCUUCACCAACACAUCCCAAGUCUCUUGUUUUCUCUUGUCUCUGAGCUUCUGUGCAUGCUGCUGAUUCUGUAGAACCCUCUUCCCUUCCACCUAGCCCUGUGCACUUGGCCUAUUUCUACUCAUGCUGAGAUUAAGUGACUCCUCCCAGGAAAAGCCUCCUCAGACUCCCCUGGACUAUGAAGGGCUCCUAAAGCACCCUAUACUUCUCCCAAUCUAAGCAUGGAUCACAUUUCACUUUUGUUUACUUUUUUUUAAAUCAGCUUUGUUGAGGUUUAAUUUACGUACAAUUAAAUUAGCCAAUUUAAGUGUAUAAUUUAAUACAUUUUAACAAAUGUAUCAGUUGCAUAACAACCACCACAAUCAAGAUACGAAACAGUUCUACCAGCCCAAAAAGUUCUAUUGUGCUUUUUUCCAGUCAAUCCUCUCACCACACCUCUGGUUUAAGAUUAGCCACUGAUCUGCUCUGUCACUAUAGUUCAACCUUCUCCAGAAUAUCAUAUAAAUGGAAUCAUACAUACAUACAUAGGCAGUCAUUUGUAGCUAGCUUCUUUCACUUAACAUAAUGCUUCUGACAUUCAUUCUUACUGUUGCAUGGAAGAGUAGUUAAUUUCUUUUUCUUUUUUUCCUUUUCUCUCUCGUUUUUUUUUUUUUUUUUUCUUUUCCUGCUGUGUAGCUUUCCAUUGCAUGGAUGUACCAGUUGUUUAUCCAUUCACCUGUUGUUUCCAAAAUGCUUGUUUCUAGUUUGGAGCUAUUAGGAGUACAGCUGCUAUGAAUAUUUGCUUACAAGUCUCUGUCUGGACAUAUAUUUUCAUUUUUCCUAGGCAAAGACCUCCGAGUAGGAUUGUUGGAUCAUAUAGUUUUGGUUACUACAAGUAAAGCUGUUAUGAAGAUGCAAGUACAAGUCUUUGUAAGAACAUGAAGCAUGGCAAUGUUAAUAUUAAUGUAGUAUUCAAAGCAAAAUGCAUUAACUAGGACAAGAGAGAGCUCUAUACUGAUAACUACCAAAAAGAUUUUGGUCAAAGCCUUUAGAGAAGCCUUCACAGCAAAUUUCCAUUGUUGCCAAGGAUCUGUCCUGAACAAGACACCAGAUGAUUUUACAGGAAAGUUCUGCGAGCUUUUAAAGGAAUGGAUAGUUCCCAUGAUUUUCAACUGGUUCCAUAGCAUAGGGAAGAAAAUAAAAACCUUCCAAACUAAUUUUAUAAGGCUAGUACAACUCUGAUCCAAAAGCCUGACAAAGUGGCAACUGCCCUCCUCCUAAAAAAACAAAGAAUCUACCCACCAAAACUUCCACAAUAACAAGGUACUAUCCAUUUGUUUCUACUAAGAAGUUGUCCUUCCUCAAUCCCCAAAAGAUGGCUGUAUUCUACUUCUGUGCAUCCCACAUUCUCCUUGGCCACUGGCAACUGUUGCUGCUAUAUCAUCUCAUCAACCCAGACAUAAUCCUCAUGACCAGCUGAUGCCAAUAAACUUUUAUCUCCUCUGUCUACCUCCAUCAAGUUCCUUACAGACUUGUUAGUUCCAAAGCAACACUUCAGAAAAUAUUCACAUACAAUUCAGAAGACUUAAGGAAUUAAUACUUUGUGCUUUAAGUCAUAACAAUAAAAUUUACUCCCAAUAAUA
ensembl:lncRNA